CACAGGAGUUGGAUCACCUGUUACGGGAGUGAAGAUGAAUUGGAUAUGUGCAUGUUGAAUAUAAAGUGUCACUGAGAUGCUUAGGAAGAUCUAUGUAAAGUUCUGCUCGGAGCUCACCUUCCACUUGAGAAUCUAGAAGAAAGGUUGUUGGAAAACAACUCUUAACUGAGCAGCUGCUUCCAAAGAACAUCAUGGAAGGAAAGGAUGAAAUUGUUAUGGUAAUAUUUUUAUUAUCACUAUGGAAACGUUUUAAAAAUUCUUCCUUUCAUACUACAUUACAAUCAUCUGAAUAUGAAAUAUCUAGUGCAAUAAUGACUGAUAACCACCAUGAUACCAGGGAUUGAAAUGGCCAAGUUACGAAGUAAUAUAGAUAGGUUUGUGAGAGACAACAGCCAAGUGCUACAGAAGUGACUUAACCUACAUCUGAGAAAAGCUGCUGUUAAAAAUCAUGCUGCAAUAAGUAAUAAGACCUUUUCAAUGACUCAGAAUAUUCAAAAUUCAUUGAAGUUAUAGAGGGAUCAUCCAACAAACCAAGUGCCAACUCUGCCUAAAGGAAACAGCUUAACUCCUGCAUGGUUCUCAAUGGUUUAGCAACUGUCUUUAACUCUCAGGAGCUGCCUCAGGGAUAGGCUAAAUUAAACAAAGUAAAAAUUAAAAAUAAAAUCAUUGCUGCAAACUUCAUAAGUAUAUAAGCUGAAGGCUAUACUUAUUGCUAUUCUAAGAUCAUUGACUUCAACAUUUUUCCUCUUCAAAAUCUUGGUUGGAUAUUCAAGCCUUGAAGCCACCUGGUAAAAUGCCAUGGUUCAAAGUGAAUACCUCCAGCUGCCUCACCACCUUUCUCACCAUCCAUGGCCACAAGUGUUCCAAACAAGGAAAUGUCUCUUCAACAAAUGUUGGGGAAAGUGGACAGAAACGUGGAGAAGAAUGAAACGGGACCAUUUUCUCGUACCAUCCACAGACACAAAUUCAAAAUGGAUUAAAGAGCGCCGAAAUCAUAAAAAUCUUAGAAAAGAACACAGACAAUAAUUUCUUUGACAUUAGCUGUAGCAAUCCCUUUUUACAUAUAUUUUAAAAUGCACAGGAAACAAAAGCAAAAAACUAUAAACUAUAGGGACUUCAUCAUAACAAAAACUUCUGCACAGUGAAGAAAACAAUCAACAAAACUAAAAGAUGGCAUACAGGAUAGGAGAAGAUAUUUGCAAAUGAUGUAUCCGAGAAAAGAUUAGUAUCCAUAAUCUAUAAAGAACUUUCCAAACUCAACUCCCAAAAAAUAAAUAAUCCAAUUAAAAAAUGGGCAGAAGACAUAAGUCAACUUUUUUUUCCAAAGAAGAUAUACAGAUGACCAAUAGACACAUGGAAAGAUAUUCCACAUAAUUGAUCAUCAGGGAAAUGCAAUCAAAACUACAAUGAAAUAUCACCUCAAACUUGUCAGAAUGGCCUAAAUCAACAACCAAGAAACAAUAGGUGUUGGCAAGGAUUCAGAGAAAGGGGAACAUUUUUGCAUUGUUGGUAGGAAAGCAAACUGGUACAGCCUUUAUGGAAAACAGGAUGGAGUUUCCUCAAAAAGUUAA